UAAUCUAUUUGGGUUAGAUCCUUAUUUAAUUAUGUAAGAUCCUUACUUAAAUGCUCAUAACUUUUAGUUUAUACAAGUUUGGCUGCAUCAACCUUCAUCCUUUACAAAAUCUUUUUGUACUCAAAGAUUUGUUAUAUU
rfam:Populus trichocarpa scaffold_7_contig_179, whole genome shotgun sequence.